rnacentral:rRNA from 2 species
UGAUGUGAAAGCCUUCGGCUCAACCGAAGAAGUGCAUCGGAAACUGGGAAACUUGAGUGCAGAAGAGGACAGUGGAACUCCAUGUGUAGCGGUGAAAUGCGUAGAUAUAUGGAAGAACACCAGUGGCGAAGGCGGCUGUCUGGUCUGUAACUGACGCUGAGGCUCGAAAGUAUGAGUAGCAAACAGGAUUAGAUACCCUGGUAGUCCAUACCGUAAGCGAUGAGUGCUAAGUGUUGGAGGGUUUCCGCCCUUCAGUGCUGCAGCUAACGCAUUAAGCAAUCCGCCUGGGGAGUACGGCCGCAAGGCUGAAACUCAAAGGAAUUGACGGGGGCCCGCACAAGCGGUGGAGCAUGUGGUUUAAUUCGAAGCUACGCGAAGAACCUUACCAGGUCUUGACAUACUAUGCAAAUCUAAGAGAUUAGAGGUUCCCUUCGGGGACAUGGAUACAGGUGGUGCAUGGUUGUCGUCAGCUCGUGUCGUGAGAUGUUGGGUUAAGUCCCGCAACGAGCGCAACCCUUAUUAUCAGUUGCCAGCAUUAAGUUGGGCACUCUGGUGAGACUGCCGGUGACAAACCGGAGGAAGGUGGGGAUGACGUCAAAUCAUCAUGCCCCUUAUGACCUGGGCUACACACGUGCUACAAUGGAUGGUACAACGAGUUGCGAACUCGCGAGAGUAAGCUAAUCUCUUAAAGCCAUUCUCAGUUCGGAUUGUAGGCUGCAACUCGCCUACAUGAAGUCGGAAUCGCUAGUAAUCGCGGAUCAGCAUGCCGCGGUGAAUACGUUCCCGGGCCUUGUACACACCGCCCGUCACACCAUGAGAGUUUGUAACACCCAAAGUCGGUGGGGUAACCUUUUAGGAACCAGCCGCCUAAGGUGGGACAGAUGAUUAGGGG